rnacentral:lncRNA from 1 species
UGACCCAGAUGGGAGUGCAGAGCAGGUCUGCACUGACAGGACAGUCAUCCACGACCACAUCAGCCUGACAUUCCCUGAUGAUGGCAACGGGAUGAACUCGGAGCAGCUGCACAAAAUACUAAGUUGGCAACCAAGAGAAGAGACAGACUCGGCUCCAAUCCUUUGGAGUAUUGAUAAGAGAAGGUAUUGUGGGAAAUGACCCUGUGCCUUUUCUGUUUCUCCUGCCAGAGUCGGUAGGGUUUGGACUGAUCUCUCUUUUAUUUCUCCAGGUAGCAGAGAGGUUUCUUUCCCCUUUAGAAGAGAAGAUAGUGUACAGACCCCUUAUUAGAGAAGAUAGUGUACAGACCCCUUUAGUAGAGAAGAUAGUGUACAGAGAAGAUAGUAGAGAAGAUAGUGCAAAGAACCCAUUAUUAGAGAAGAUUGCUCUGCCUGCAGCUGUACCCAUGGACAAGCUUGGAUUCCAACAGUUCUGUUCACAGCAAUGCAGCUGUGGCAGUUCCCUGCUUAGAGAGAAGCUGGAAUUCGUUGGCACUGGAGCACAUUGUCCCAGGAAGCGACUACUCCCUGCCAGGACGUAGGAGAUGUUUUUCCAUUGGCCUUGGGUUUGGGAGCUGGAGGGUUUGUGGGUGUUGUUUUAAAAUCAGGUGUUUUGUGGGCUUUUGCAGUAUUUGGUACCCGAAGCCGAGCACGCAGAUCAUCCUGGGAGGACAAAGAGCCAAAACACAGCUGGUUUCCAAAGCUGUCUUCCCCCACACUUGUCAUGUGGGCACAGGGAUACCACACUUGCAAGGGCUUCUCCAAAGGUUUUUCUGCCAGGAGUGCUCCAGGCUUUCAGAAGAGCAGCCCUGGGAGAGCAGCUGAGUGAUGACGGGAAGGAGCUGCAGAGGAAGAAGAAGGAGGAAUGUCCCUUGGCUGUGCCAGGUGAGGAGAUGCAGGGAGUGGCAAGGCCAGGGAGAGCAAAGGCCUUGCCAGGCUGUGGCUGUGGUUGGUUUCCCCCGAGUGCUGAGCAGGAGCCUUUGAUGGGCAAGCUGUGCUGGUUUUCCCUGGCAGAAAGCAGCCAGAGCAGCCGUGGGUGCAGUGCGAGGCGCGUGGGAAGGGUGGGAAGGUGGCGGAGGGAACGGAGCAGUUGUGCAGAAGUGGUUCUGCUCCCCGAGCCCUGAGGCGCAGUCCCGGGAAUGCCACAUUCCAGGGAACAUCUGCAGCCUGCUCUUAGCUCUGAGCUGAUCCCCUGCUGAUGUUCAGCUCUUUCUAUUGUGGUUUUUUCUCUCCCCUUUGCUUAACUCAGAAAUUGUAACGUGCCUGAGGAAGUGGACAGUGAUGAUUUGAUAAAGGAGAAGGAGAAGAAAAAGGAAAAGAGGAAGUAAAAGAAGAAGGAGGAGGAGGAGCAGGAGGAGAAGAAGAAGAAGAAGGAAGAGAAGAUGGAUGUGGCACUACCGCAGCGGUAGUGGAUCAAGAGCUGGACUUGAUGAU